AUUGAACGCUGGCGGCAUGCCUUACACAUGCAAGUCGAACGGCAGCACGGGGGCAACCCUGGUGGCGAGUGGCGAACGGGUGAGUAAUACAUCGGAACGUGUCCUCUUGUGGGGGAUAACCAGUCGAAAGAUUGGCUAAUACCGCAUGAGAUCGCAAGAUGAAAGCGGGGGACCGCAAGGCCUCGCGCGAGAGGAGCGGCCGAUGUCGGAUUAGCUAGNGGUGGGGUAAAGCCUACCAAGGCGACGAUCCGUAGCUGGUCUGAGAGGACGACCAGCCACACUGGGACUGAGACACGGCCCAGACUCCUACGGGAGGCAGCAGUGGGGAAUUUUGGACAAUGGGCGCAAGCCUGAUCCAGCCAUGCCGCGUGUGUGAAGAAGGCCUCGGUUGUAA
rnacentral:rRNA from 1 species